GGGCGUCGGAAAGCGGCCUUCUGGGACUCCGCAAACUCCCGUUCUCCCUCCCCCCUCCCCCUUGCCAUUCCCUUUGCCUUCCGGGCGCCAAGUCUCUCUGGCCUCCAAGGUGAACCCAACUCCCCAGCGCGCCCCGGGUUCCCGGGUCGGGCCGGCUUCAGGCGGUGGGGAGCGGGAUCCCGGGCCCCGGGCGGGCGGGAGGGACGGGACGCGGUGCAGUGUUGUUUUUUCCCCCGCCAAUAUUGCACUCGUCCCGGCCUCCGGCCCCCCCGGCCCCCCGGCCUCCCCGCUACCCCUAGCGGGGCAGCCCCCGCCCUCCUGGCUCUCCAUCCCGGCGGAUCUUUGAUAGACUGGAGUGUCGCCGCUGCCACCGCUUACCAUCUGAGUCCUUCUGAUUGGGAUUGGGUACCAGGCGGCAGUUAUCGGGACCAGGAGGCACAUAAUCUGGGAUGCCAUCAUUGUCAUCAUCCCCAUCACACUCAUCUCCAAGUCCAUCGUUAUCAGAGUCCAGCUGGGAGCUAUUUGGCAGCUGUGGGCAGUUGUCCUUGGUGUCCUGAUGCCCAUCCCCAUCGCUAAUCAGAAGAACAGGUUGGUGAAAGUCCCGAACUUUGUCUCCCCACCCAGAGGACAACUGGCCAGGAAAUCUGCCUGUUUCUUGUCUCACCCUCUAGUCCACACUCUGCCUAACACUACGCCCUACCUCACAUUCCUAUUGACAUCUGCUGCAGGUAAUCUCUCCUCACCCAGGCCAACGUCCACAAGCCUGCCUCCCUAUUUCACAGAGACUUCCUAGCUUCCCUGCUUCAUCCCCACCUGAUCCAAAUUCUCACAGGUCCCCCAGCCACCCCUUCAGCCCCAGGCCUGCACCAUCCCCAUCCACGUCGUUGUCACAGGCAUCUCCUUCCCCAUUGCCAUCUGUGUCCUUCUGGUCAUUGUUGGGAACGUUGGGGCAAUUGUCACAGGCAUCACCAAAUGAAUCUGUAUCUGAGUUC
ensembl:lncRNA THBS3-AS1 THBS3 antisense RNA 1